rnacentral:rRNA from 1 species
AACGAACGCUGGCGGCAGGCCUAACACAUGCAAGUCGAGCGGACAUCUUCGGAUGUUAGCGGCCGACGGGUGGGUAACGCGUGGUAACGUGCCCUUUGCUUCGGAAUAGCCUCGGGAAACUGGGCUUCAUACCGGCUGUACCCUUUGGGGUAAAGAUUUAUCGGCACAGGAUCGGCUCGCGUUGGAUUAGUUUGUUGGUAGGGUUAUGGCCUCCCAAGCCGACUAUCCAUAGCUGGGUUGAGAGGAUGGUCAGCCACACUGGUACUGAGACACGGCCCAGAAUCUUACGGGAGGGAGGAGUGGGGAAUGUUAGACAAUGGGGGAAACCAUGAACGAGCCAGGACGGGUGAGCGAUGAAGGCAGUAGGGAAGUAAAGCGCUAUCAACGGGGAAGAUAAUGACGGUACCCGGAGAAGAAGCCACGGCUAACUACGUG